AUUUCGCUUUCUGUUGCAUCCUGGGGUGCUCAGAGCCACACCUGACGACUGUCAGUACAGGCAAGGCAUUUGGUGAAUAAAUGCAUGGACAGCAAAGCCCUCCAUCCCGGACCUGAUCUGCAAGCAGGUAUUUUGUAUAAUUCAGGCCAUCAGAAUUUGCAGCUCCUCAUCUGUGUAAAUCAGGCUUUCAAGAUUCUGUACAACCACAACUAAUGAAAAUUAUCAGGUUGUUUUGAUAAAUAUAAAAAGUGUGAAGUCAGAGGUUAUGGGUGACAAUUGCAGUUUUGAAUCAAACUGAACAUUCAAUUUAUUUAAUCAAAACAGCCUUGUUCUUAUUGAUUGAAUUCAUAAUAGAUAAGGGUUAUAAUCUGUAUUUAUAAAAUAAAUCAAC
rnacentral:lncRNA from 1 species